UACGUAGGUGGCAAGCGUUAUCCGGAAUUAUUGGGCGUAAAGAGCGCGCAGGUGGUUGAUUAAGUCUGAUGUGAAAGCCCACGGCUUAACCGUGGAGGGUCAUUGGAAACUGGUCGACUUGAGUGCAGAAGAGGGAAGUGGAAUUCCAUGUGUAGCAGUGAAAUGCGUAGAGAUAUGGAGGAACACCAGUGGCGAAGGCGGCUUCCUGGUCUGUAACUGACACUGAGGCGCGAAAGCGUGGGGAGCAAACAGGAUUAGA
rnacentral:rRNA from 1 species